rnacentral:rRNA from 1 species
UAUUGGUCAAUGGACGCAAGUCUGAACCAGCCAUGCCGCGUGAAGGAUGAAGGUCCUCUGGAUUGUAAACUUCUUUUAUCUGGGACGAAAACGGGAUUUUUAACUCAAUUGACGGUACCAGAGGAAUAAGCACCGGCUAACUUCGUGCCAGCAGCCGCGGUAAUACGGAGGGUGCGAGCGUUAUCCGGCUUUACUGGGUUUAACGGGUGCGUAGGUGGGCUUAUAAGUCAGUGGUGAAAUCUCC